UGGCGAACGGGUGCGUAACACGUGGGCAAUCUGCCCCUCGCAGGGGGACAACUGGAGGAAACUCCAGCUAAUACCCCGUAAGCUUUCAGGGUCGCAUGGCCUUGUAAGGAAAGGUAGCUUCGGCCAUCCGGCGAGGGAUGAGCCCGCGGUACAUUAGCUAGUUGGUGGGGUAACGGCCUACCAAGGCGACGAUGUAUAGCUGGUCUGAGAGGAUGAUCAGCCACACUGGGACUGAGACACGGCCCAGACUCCUACGGGAGGCAGCAGUCGGGAAUCUUGCACAAUGGGCGAAAGCCUGAUGCAGCAACACCGUGUGAGCGAGGAAGGCCUUCGGGUCGUAAAGCUCUGUUGUUGGGGAAGAAGGGCGAAGGGUUAAUAGCCCCUAGCUUGACGGUACCCUUCGAGGAAGCCCCGGCUAACUACGUGCCAGCAGCCGCGGUAAUACGUAGGGGGCGAGCGUUGUCCGGAAUUAUUGGGCGUAAAGAGCGUGUAGGCGGUUCGGUAAGUCCGUCGUGAAAACCUGGGGCUCAACCCCGGGCGUGCG
rnacentral:rRNA from 1 species